rnacentral:rRNA from 1 species
UUGCAUAUCAAUAAGCGGAGGAAAAGAAACUAACAAGGAUUCCCCCAGUAACGGCGAGUGAAGCGGGAAGAGCUCAAUGUUAAAAUCUCCGAGGGGAAUUUCGGUGAAUUGUAGUUUAGAGAAGUGUUUUCUGGGGUGGGCACCGAUGUAAGUUUCCUUGGAAAACGGCGCCAUUGAGGGUGAGAGCCCUGUUUGCGGUUGCCUGCUGCACUCCUAUACG